CCUACGGGGUGCAGCAGUGGGGAAUAUUGGGCAAUGGGCGCAAGCCUGACCCAGCAACGCCGUGUGAGGGAUGAAGGUCUUCGGAUUGUAAACCUCUGUCAGAAGGGAAGAAGUGCGAGUGGUCCAAUAGGCCACUUGUUUGACGGUACCUUCAGAGGAAGCACCGGCUAACUCCGUGCCAGCAGCCGCGGUAAUACGGAGGGUGCAAGCGUUAUUCGGAAUCACUGGGCGUAAAGCGUGCGUAGGCGGCGAGGUAAGUCAGGUGUGAAAUCCCACGGCUCAACCGUGGAACUGCACUUGAAACUGCUUUGCUUGAGUACUGGAGGGGAUGGCGGAAUUCCUGGUGUAGGAGUGAAAUCCGUAGAUAUCAGGAGGAACACCAGUGGCGAAGGCGGCCAUCUGGACAGUAACUGACGCUGAGGUACGAAAGCGUGGGGAGCAAACAGGAUUAGAUACCCCCGUAGUC
rnacentral:rRNA from 1 species